UUAUCAAAUUUCUUGGGAGAGUUAGGUCUCUUUCUGAUAUUAUCUCAAUCAAAUAUAUUAGUUACUCACACAACCUGAUGUUUCUCUCUUCAGGCCAAGUGUGAAAAUGAAACUUGUUGACAUCUGAAAUAGCAAAUACUGGGCUCAAGGGGAGCACACAAGUACAUGUGAUGGGGAGUCAAAAGAACGUUCUGAUAACGUAAUUGGAAGUUCCAACAAUUGAUCAGACUAAAAAGAUAACUUCAUUCGGUCAAAUUGAAGUAAUCUUUACAAAAUUGUAUGUAUAAAGAUAAAACGGACAAACAAGUUGGUUGACAUAGCAUGUUCUCUCCGCGUUGAAUAUAAUAUGGAUGCCUUAGCAUUCUCUAACAUUGAAUGGAAGGAGCGAAAACUGCACUGGAUCAGGAUCUUAUAUAUUCUUGGGUGGUCAGGCAAUGAAGUUGAGUAGCAUAUAAACUCUACACAUGGGUUAAUUCCUGAGACUGGUCAUUUUCUUUUACAGUAUCCAAUCUCAAUGACAAUUAAUUGAGCUCUUAAUUUAAGAUCAGAAAUUGUAUGAAGCAAUCAAAGUUAUGGAGGUUUCAGUCUCAUUUUUUUGUAAGGUUAAUCUUUUUAUUCUUAUGCUUUAUCUUGUUUUCUUUCAACGUCAUUAUGCAAAAUCCUUAACGACUCCAAAUGAGAGUUAUUUUUGUUUAUUUUAUGUAUUAAGACAUCUCUUUGCACCAUUUCAUAAUCAAUGUCCGUGAUAUACUUAUUCUACAAUUGUUUGAUCUGCUUGUAUCUAUAUUUAUUUUGUGGUGUAUUU